UACGUAGGGUGCGAGCGUUGUCCGGAAUUAUUGGGCGUAAAGAGCUCGUAGGCGGUUUGUCGCGUCGACUGUGAAAACCUACAGCUUAACUGUGGGCUUGCAGUCGAUACGGGCAGACUUGAGUUCGGUAGGGGAGACUGGAAUUCCUGGUGUAGCGGUGAAAUGCGCAGAUAUCAGGAGGAACACCGGUGGCGAAGGCGGGUCUCUGGGCCGAUACUGACGCUGAGGAGCGAAAGCGCGGGGAGCGAACAGG
rnacentral:rRNA from 1 species